rnacentral:rRNA from 1 species
GAUGAACGCUGGCGGCGUGCCUAAUACAUGCAAGUCGAGCGAACGGACGAGAAGCUUGCUUCUCUGAUGUUAGCGGCGGACGGGUGAGUAACACGUGGAUAACCUCCCUAUAAGACUGUGAUAACUUCGGGAAACCGGAGCUAAUACCGGAUGAUAUUUUGAACCGCAUGGUUCAAAAGUGAAAGACGGUCUUGCUGUCACUUAUAGAUGGAUCCGCGCUGCAUUAGCUAGUUGGUAAGGUAACGGCUUACCAAGGCAACGAUGCAUAGCCGACCUGAGAGGGUGAUCGGCCACACUGGAACUGAGACACGGUCCAGACUCCUACGGGAGGCAGCAGUAGGGAAUCUUCCGCAAUGGGCGAAAGCCUGACGGAGCAACGCCGCGUGAGUGAUGAAGGUCUUCGGAUCGUAAAACUCUGUUAUUAGGGAAGAACAUAUGUGUAAGUAACUGUGCACAUCUUGACGGUACCUAAUCAGAAAGCCACGGCUAACUACGUG